rnacentral:rRNA from 1 species
CCUACGGGUGGCAGCAGUGAGGAAUAUUGGUCAAUGGGCGUAAGCCUGAACCAGCCAAGUCGCGUGAGGGAUGAAUGUUCUAUGGAUCGUAAACCUCUUUUAUAAGGGAAUAAAGUGUGGGACGUGUCCUAUUUUGUAUGUACCUUAUGAAUAAGGAUCGGCUAACUCCGUGCCAGCAGCCGCGGUAAUACGGAGGAUCCGAGCGUUAUCCGGAUUUAUUGGGUUUAAAGGGUGCGUAGGGGGCUUGUUAAGUCAGUGGGGAAAGUUUGUGGCUCAACCAUAGAAUUGCCGUUGAAACUGGGAGGAUUGAGUAUGUUAGAGGUAGGCGGAAUGCGUGGUGUAGCGGUGAAAUGCUUAGAUAUCACGAAGAACCCCGAUUGCGAAGGCAGCUCGCUGGGCUGUGACUGACGCUGAGGCACGAAAGCGUGGGGAUCAAACAGGAUUAGAUACCCCAGUAGUC